rnacentral:ncRNA from 1 species
CAAAAGCUUGGUCCUGACUUUAAUGUCAGCUUUGGUUAAAUUUAUACAUGCAAGUAUCCGCAUUCCUGUGAAAAUGCCCUACAUAUUCCCGCCCCCGGAAUAAAGGAGCAGACAUUAGGCACAACUCGAGUUAGCCCAUGAUGCCUUGCUAAGCCACACCCCCAAGGGAAUUCAGCAGUAAUAAACAUUAAGCAAUAAGUGAAAACUUGACUUAGUUAAAACCAAGAGGGCCGGUAAAACUCGUGCCAGCCACCGCGGUUAUACGAGAGGCCCAAGUUGACAGACACCGGCGUAAAAAGUGGCUAAUAUAAUAUUUCACUAAAGAUAAACACCUUCAAAACUGUCAUACGCACUCGAAGGAAGGAAGCUCUUUCACGAAAGUGUCUUUAAAUAAUAUUUCCCCACGAAAGCUAGGACACAAACUGGGAUUAGAUACCCCACUAUGCCUAGCCCUAAACAAAAGUAAGUAAUUACACGUCUUAUUUGCCAGGGAACUACGAGCCCCAGCUUAAAACCCAAAGGACUUGGCGGUGCUUUAGACCCACCUAGAGGAGCCUGUUCUAGAACCGAUAACCCCCGUUCAACCUCACCCUUUCUUGUUUAACCCGCCUAUAUACCGCCGUCGUCAGCUUACCCUAUGAAGGAUAAAUAGUGAGCAAAAUUGGAAAACCCCAAAACGUCAGGUCGAGGUGUAGCGUACGAGAGGGGAAGAAAUGGGCUACAUUUACUGUCUCAGUAAACACGAACAAUACCUUGAAACCAGGCAUUUGAAGGAGGAUUUAGCAGUAAGGGGGGAAUAGAGCGCUCCCCUGAAACUGGCCCUGAAGCGCGCACACACCGCCCGUCACUCUCCCCAAAACACAAUAUACCAGUAAAUAAACAAAGACAUAUACAAAGGGGAGGCAAGUCGUAACAUGGUAAGUGUACCGGAAGGUGCACUUGGAAAAAC